UCCGGUCAAACUGUUUCACUUUGGCUUGUUAAUAAAUUAAGGUAAUUCUUAGAGAGACAGCCACUUUCCAGUUUAUUGUGCAACCACAUGCUGCAGAUGAAAAAUGCUUGUUCCUCGAUUUUUUAACUCUAGAAAGGUUACAUCAGCACUUGGUACAGCACUGAGAUAUGCUUCAUCAGUCCCAAGGUUCAACCCACAGCAAUUCAGCGCAGGACAAGUGGGACUCCGUCCAGCAUCUCAGUCUGCAAGGCAUGACAGUGGUUUCUUCAAGUUCUUUCCUGGGCCUUUGACUUGGGCAGGGCAGACAAGGACUUUUUUCACAAAUUUUCAUGCUAAACAUUAUGUUUUGUCUCAGUCCGUGUUAAAUGCUGAACAAACCUUCACUCCAAACCCUGUGCUUCAGAGAACUAUCUCCAGAAAUUUUACUGGAUUAUUAAAUACUAGUAUAACCAGUGGUCAAGGCACAAAAGUGACACGAGCUUUUACGCCAAGAUCAACAUUGUCAUCAAAUCUCCUAGCUGUUCACUCUGGGAGGUUGACCCAGGCGGCAAAUUACAAGGUGAAGGUCUCUUUAAAACGGAGAUGCAAAGAUUGUUACUUCGUGAGGCGCCACGGGAGGCUGCAGGUGGACUGCCGUACGUUCACCAGACAUAGACAAAUGCAGAAAAUGGCCAAAUAUAAGCUGAUGUGGCACACAAGAGUCCCAAAAUGAUAGAAGUCACACAGUAAUUAAAAAAA